GGACAGUAAUAGUCUGGUCCGCCGUCAUGGUGUGUACUGGCUGUUACGUCCUCCUUAUGGGAUACUCACCUCUGCCCUUAACUGUGUGGAGGUAAACAGUGAGUAUUAAGCAGGCAACUGUUUAGUAUUCAUGGAGUUCCCAUUCAUUUACUUUGAAUAAAUUAGAGUGUUCAAAGCAGGCAAAAAGGGGCCUUGAAUACAUUAGCAUGGGAUAAUAAAAUAGGACUUGUGUUCGCUAUUUUGUUGGUUUCUGGGACAUGAGUA
rnacentral:rRNA from 1 species